UACGGAGGGUGCAAGCGUUAUCCGGAUUCACUGGGUUUAAAGGGUGCGUAGGUGGGUCUGUAAGUCAGUGGUGAAAUCUUCGAGCUUAACUCGGAAACUGCCAUUGAUACUAUAGAUCUUGAAUUUUCUGGAGGUAAGCGGAAUAUGUCAUGUAGCGGUGAAAUGCUUAGAUAUGACAUAGAACACCAAUUGCGAAGGCAGCUUGCUAACCGAAUAUUGACACUGAGGCACGAAAGCGUGGGGGAGCGAACAGG
rnacentral:rRNA from 1 species